AGAGCGAACGCUGGCGGCAUGCCUAACACAUGCAAGUCGCACGGUCGGGGGGAGACUUCCGGCAGUGGCGGACGGGUGAGUAACGCGUAGGGAUCUAUCCUUGGAUGGGGGACAACCGCGGGAAACCGCGGCUAAUACCGCAUGAUGCCUGAGGGCCAAAGCUCGCGAGAGCGUCUGGGGAGGAGCCUGCGUCCGAUUAGCUAGUUGGUGGGGUAACGGCCCACCAAGGCGUCGAUCGGUAGCUGGUCUGAGAGGAUGAUCAGCCACACUGGGACUGAGACACGGCCCAGACUCCUACGGGAGGCAGCAGUGGGGAAUAUUGGACAAUGGGCGCAAGCCUGAUCCAGCAAUGCCGCGUGGGUGAAGAGGUCUUCGGAUUGUAAAGCCCUUUCGGCGGGGACGAUGAUGACGGUACCCGCAGAAGAAGCCCCGGCUAACUUCGUGCCAGCAGCCGC
rnacentral:rRNA from 1 species